rnacentral:rRNA from 1 species
UGAGGAAUAUUGGUCAAUGGACGCAAGUCUGAACCAGCCAAGUAGCGUGCAGGAUGACGGCCCUAUGGGUUGUAAACUGCUUUUAUAUGGGGAUAAAGUGGGGAACGUGUUCCCUUUUGCAGGUACCAUACGAAUAAGGACCGGCUAAAUACGUGCCAGCAGCCGCGGUAAUACGUAAGGUCCGAGCGUUGUCCGGAAUCAUUGGGCGUAAAGGGUACGUAGGCGGAUAAGCAAGUUAGAAGUGAAAUCCUAUAGCUCAACUAUAGUAAGCUUUUAAAACUGCUCAUCUUGAGGUAUGGAAGGGAAAGUGGAAUUCCUAGUGUAGCGGUGAAAUGCGCAGAUAUUAGGAGGAAUACCGGUGGCGAAGGCGACUUUCUGGCCAUAUACUGACGCUGAGGUACGAAAGCGUGGGUAGCAAACAGG